AGUGAACGCUGGCGGUAGGCCUAACACAUGCAAGUCGAACGGCAGCACAGUAAGAGCUUGCUCUUACGGGUGGCGAGUGGCGGACGGGUGAGGAAUACAUCGGAAUCUACUUUUUCGUGGGAGAUAACGUAGGGAAACUUACGCUAAUACCGCAUACGACCUACGGGUGAAAGCAGGGGAUCUUCGGACCUUGCGCGAUUGAAUGAGCCGAUGUCGGAUUAGCUAGUUGGCGGGGUAAAGGCCCACCAAGGCGACGAUCCGUAGCUGGUCUGAGAGGAUGAUCAGCCACACUGGAACUGAGACACGGUCCAGACUCCUACGGGAGGCAGCAGUGGGGAAUAUUGGACAAUGGGCGCAAGCCUGAUCCAGCCAUACCGCGUGGGUGAAGAAGGCCUUCGGGUUGUAAGGCCCUUUUGUUGGGAAAGAAAAGCAGCAGGUUAAUACCCCGCUGUUCUGACGGUACCCAAAGAAUAAGCACCGGCUAACUUCGUG
rnacentral:rRNA from 1 species